UCUCGACGUCUUGCACCCCUAUGGGCCUCCACAGCCUGUUACAGGGAAAGGUCUAUCUUUAUUUAUACUAUCAUCCUUUCUUGUAUAUUGGUUGUUGAGACCUGUUAUGGCCUCUUGUCAAAUGGGCAGCAGGGGCUGUUUCCCUGGGUGUGGGAGUGGCACUCACCUCCAUCUAGAGCAUAACUAAUUAAGCAUAGGGACAGCUUUGCAUUUAUGGGUACUACAAAACAGAAUGCUCUAUAACUACAUAAUUUAACUGUUUGUGAUUUGUGAGGUUUGUAGGUGGCAGAGUCAGUACUGGAGAGAAACUCAGAAGGAAACAUGGAAGGUGGUUCCAUUGUGCUGAAUGCUACCGCAGAAUUCUGCGGUACGUUGGGUGACAUCCCAAUUUAUGGUCUGGCUGGCAACAGGGAUGAGGACGCUCAAGAACUACUUGACUUUGAGAGGGAAAUGAUGGAAGAGAAGAAACGUCAGGAAGAAGAAGAUAAACGUGGAGCUAGGAAUGAAUUUGAGAUUGAGAUGAUGAAAAGUUUGGGCAUCGCGAGCGCUACAGUGGUCUGACCUCAGACUUCAAAGAAAAGGAGGGCUACAAACCAAAUGUUAAACUCGACUACACAGAUGAUGCUGGACACGUACUUAAUGCAAAGGAGGCUUUCAGAUACCUGUCUCAUGAAUUUCACGGAAAGGGACGUGACAAAAAUAAAGUGGAGAAACGAAUGAAGAAAACUGAACAGGAAGGAUUGAUGAAACAGAUGAGCUCAACAGACACCCACUCGGAACGCUUAGCCUCUUGCAGCAGAAGCAGAAAGAAAUGCAGUCUCCAUUUGUGGUCCUUAGUGGUGGUAAACAAACAUGAGAGCAACCAUCUCAAAAACAAAACUGCAAAUUCUUCAUGAAAUAUGCUGGCACCAACUCUGAACUGUGGCAUGGACUUAUGUUUUAUUGUUUUUUACUGUCUGGAAUAUCAUCUCCCUUUUUUUUUAAAUGAGACACAGCUUGCAGCUGCUGACAUGGCCUAUGUGUACUGGAAGGAAGGCCACAGAGUUCAUGUCACAUUAAAAUGAGUACAGUGGUUCUCCUGCUUCCUUAGGUAACCUCUUGGCACCUGUAAGCUGAAAAGUACAAUUUCUAGUGAUUAGUUGCUUGCUUAUAGGACUUGAGCCGGAUGAACAGCCUCUAAGCUAAAUUGGACAUUAAUCAGUAAUUACAUUUGGCCUUUCUUGAUUGCAAUAGCAAUAUUAUAUCUUUCCAAGGGAAGAAAGAAACCCUUGUUCAUUUGUAGGCCAGUAUGAAAAGCUGUAAAAUUAUACAAGCAACAGAAUCAGAAGAUGUACAGUCUACUGCAAAUCAUUGUAAAGCACCACUGAUAUAUCACUGAAACUUUUGUAAUGGGUUAUAAAAGUAACUUGGUUCAUCCUGGUCUGCCACACUGGUAACUGUAUAUAAGGUUUUUAACCACUAUUGAGUGUGAUUGAUAAAAGUUGUUUUUAGUUUUUCAUCCUUUACAUGUUUCGGUCAAAACUACCAUCUUCAGAAGGGUAUUAUCAACACGUAUGGAAACUACUGUUACAUGUCAUACAUGUAUAUGUUAUAUCUUAACUAUUAUUAAGAUGUACAUUGAUUUGUUAAAACAUCUAAAAAUUACAGUUAGUCUGUUUACAAAAUAAUGUUCAGUAUUUGUUUUAAAGUAGAGCCAAUUUGGUUUCUUUUCCUUACACUUUUGUAAUAAUUAUAGAUGUUUUAACAAAUCAAUGUACAUCUUAAUAUUAGUUAAAUGAUAUAACAUAUAUAUCUAUGACAUGUAACAG